rnacentral:rRNA from 2 species
UACGAAGGGGGCUAGCGUUGUUCGGAAUUACUGGGCGUAAAGCGCGCGCAGGCGGUCUUCCAAGUCAGUGGUGAAAGCCCGGAGCUCAACUCCGGAACUGCCAUUGAAACUGUUAGACUUGAGGAUGAGAGAGGUGAGUGGAAUUCCCAGUGUAGAGGUGAAAUUCGUAGAUAUUGGGAAGAACACCGGUGGCGAAGGCGGCUCACUGGCUCAUUACUGACGCUCAGGCGCGAUAGCGUGGGGAUCAAACAGG